rnacentral:rRNA from 1 species
GGGUGAGUAAUAUAUAGGUAACAUGCCUCUUACUAAGGGAUAACAGAUGGAAACGCCUGCUAAUACCUUAUAUGCCUUUUGAGCAAAAGUUCGUAAAGGGAAAGAUUUAUUGGUAAGAGAUUGGCUUGUACGGUAUCAGUUAGUUGGUGAGGUAAUGGCUCACCAAGACAAUGACACUUAACUGGUUUGAGAGGAUGAUCAGUCACACUGGAACUGAGACACGGUCCAGACUCCUACGGGAGGCAGCAGUGGGGAAUAUUGCACAAUGGACGAAAGUCUGAUGCAGCAACGCCGCGUGGAGGAUGACACAUUUCGGUGCGUAAACUCCUUUUAUAUGGGAAGAUAAUGACGGUACCAUAUGAAUAAGCACCGGCUAACUCCGUGCCAGCAGCCGCGGUAAUACGGAGGGUGCAAGCGUUACUCGGAAUCACUGGGCGUAAAGAGCGUGUAGGCGGGUUGAUAAGUUCGAAGUGAAAUCCAAUAGCUUAACUAUUGAACUGCUUUGAAAACUGUUGAUCUAGAGUGUGGGAGAGGUAGAUGGAAUUUCUGGUGUAGGGGUAAAAUCCGUAGAUAUCAGAAGGAAUACCGAUUGCGAAGGCGAUCUACUGGAACACAACUGACGCUGAGACGCGAAAGCGUGGGUAGCAAACGGGAUUAGAUACCCCGGUGGUCCACGCCCUAAACGAUGUACACUAGUUGUUGCCUUGCUAGACAAGGCAGUAAUGCACCUAACGGAUUAAGUGUACCGCCUGGGGAGUACGGUCGCAAGAUUAAAACUCAAAGGAA